UGCAAGUCGAACGGUAACAGGAAACAGCUUGCUGUUUCGCUGACGAGUGGCGGACGGGUGAGUAAUGUCUGGGAAACUGCCUGAUGGAGGGGGAUAACUACUGGAAACGGUAGCUAAUACCGCAUAAYGUCGCAAGACCAAAGAGGGGGACCUUCGGGCCUCUUGCCAUCGGAUGUGCCCAGAUGGGAUUAGCUAGUAGGUGGGGUAACGGCUCACCUAGGCGACGAUCCCUAGCUGGUCUGAGAGGAUGACCAGCCACACUGGAACUGAGACACGGUCCAGACUCCUACGGGAGGCAGCAGUGGGGAAUAUUGCACAAUGGGCGCAAGCCUGAUGCAGCCAUGCCGCGUGUAUGAAGAAGGCCUUCGGGUUGUAAAGUACUUUCAGCGGGGAGGAAGGGAGUAAAGUUAAUACCUUUGCUCAUUGACGUUACCCGCAGAAGAAGCACCGGCUAACUCCGUGCCAGCAGCCGCGGUAAUACGGAGGGUGCAAGCGUUAAUCGGAAUUACUGGGCGUAAAGCGCACGCAGGCGGUUUGUUAAGUCAGAUGUGAAAUCCCCGGGCUCAACCUGGGAACUGCAUCUGAUACUGGCAAGCUUGAGUCUCGUAGAGGGGGGUAGAAUUCCAGGUGUAGCGGUGAAAUGCGUAGAGAUCUG
rnacentral:rRNA from 1 species